GCCCGGUUAGCUUAGUUGGAAGAGCGUGAGACUUUUAGACUAUCUAUUAGAAAGCCUGUUAUCUCAAGGUCGCGGGUUCGAGCCCCGCAUUGGGCG
rfam:Aspergillus bombycis strain NRRL26010 contig00119, whole genome shotgun sequence.